AAAAUUUUAGUUUAAUUUAAAAUAUUCUAUUUACGAUAGAGAGAUUAUUUUUUAUAAAAUUUUU
rnacentral:tRNA from 1 species